rnacentral:rRNA from 1 species
CCACUCGGGAGAAGGAACUCGGCAAAUUAAUACCGUAACUUCGGGAGAAGGUAUGCCCCGGUAGUGUGAGGCGCCUGCGCGCUGAGCAUGAUGGGGUCGCAGAGAAUCGGUGGCUGCGACUGUUUAUUAAAAACACAGCACUCUGCAAAGACGAAAGUCGACGUAUAGGGUGUGACGCCUGCCCGGUGCCGGAAGGUUAAGUGAUGGGGUGCAAGCUCUUGAUCGAAGCCCCGGUAAACGGCGGCCGUAACAAUAACGGUCCUAAGGUAGCGAAAUUCCUUGUCGGGUAAGUUCCGACCUGCACGAAUGGCGUAACGAUGGCCACACUGUCUCCUCCCGAGACUCAGCGAAGUUGAAGUGUUUGUGAUGAUGCAAUCUCCCCGCGGCUAGACGGAAAGACCCCAUGAACCUUUACUGUAGCUUUGCAUUGGAUUGUGAACCGGCCUGUGUAGGAUAGGUGGGAGGCGCUGAAGCGUGGUCGCCAGAUCAUGUGGAGCCAACCUUGAAAUACCACCCUGGUUUGUUUGCGGUUCUAACCUUGGUCCGUUAUCCGGAUCGGGAACAGUGCAUGGUGGGCAGUUUGACUGGGGCGGUCUCCUCCCAAAGCGUAACGGAGGAGUUCGAAGGUACGCUAGGUACGGUCGGAAAUCGUGCUGAUAGUGCAAUGGCAUAAGCGUGCUUGACUGUGAGACUGACACGUCGAACAGGUGCGAAAGCAGGACAUAGUGAUCCGGUGGUUCUGAAUGGAAGGGCCAUCGCUCAACGGAUAAAAGGUACUCUGGGGAUAACAGGCUGAUACCGCCCAAGAGUUCAUAUCGACGGCGGUGUUUGGCACCUCGAUGUCGGCUCAUCUCAUCCUGGGGCUGUAGCCGGUCCCAAGGGUAUGGCUGUUCGCCAUUUGAAGAGGUACGUGAGCUGGGUUUAAAACGUCGUGAGACAGUUUGGUCCCUAUCUGCCGUGGGCGUUGGAUACUUGACGGAGCCUGCUCCUAGUACGAGAGGACCGGAGUGGACGUACCUCUGGUGUACCGGUUGUCAUGCCAAUGGCAUUGCCGGGUAGCUAUGUACGGAAGAGAUAACCGCUGAAGGCAUCUAAGCGGGAAACUCGUCUGAAGAUUAGGUAUCCCUGGGAACUUGAUUCCCCUGAAGGGUCGUUCUAGACCAGGACGUUGAUAGGUCAGGUGUGGAAGCGCAGUAAUGCGUUAAGCUAACUGAUACUAAUUGCCCGUGCGGCUUGAA